rnacentral:rRNA from 1 species
UGGUAGAGGUGCUGCAUGGCUGUCGUCAGCUCGUGUCGUGAGAGUUGUUGGGUUAAGUCCCGCAACGAGCGCAACCCCUGCCUUAGUUGCCAUCGGGUCACGCCGGGAACUCUAAGGGGACCGCCCCGGACAACCGGGGAGGAAGGUGGGGAUGACGUCAAGUCAUCAUGGCCCUUUACGGCCUGGGCUACACACGUGCUACAAUGGUCGGUACAAAGGGUUGCCAAGCCGCGAGGUGGAGCUAAUCCCAUAAAACCGAUCGUAGUCCGGAUCGCAGUCUGCAACUCGACUGCGUGAAGUCGGAAUCGCUAGUAAUCGUGAAUCAGAAUGUCACGGUGAAUACGUUCCCGGGCCUU